AAAGGUUAAGCCUCCAGCAUAUUCAAUCCACAACAUAGAAGAAGCCAAUCAAGUAUUUGAAGACCUUUAUCAGAGUAGGAUAACCGGUCGCGCCAUCUUAAAAUUGAACCACUCCCACACAACUGACAACUGAACUGUCACAUAUUGUCAGUGUGCCAAGACGGAUAGCAAUGCCAUGUGUUAUGAUGUAAUCAUCAUCAUCUGAACAAAGGCAUUGCUAACUUGCAACACAAGACUGUGUGUCCCUGAAUUUCUGAACUCACCAAGAGUUUGGGAGAACUUGAAUUCAGGCAGCCAUCCCUUCAUCCAAUCCAUGAUCUGCAAAGUAAUAUGGUGCUCUGAUAAACACUCAAAGUGGUCAAAAAGAUCACGUUAUUAGUUUACGACGACAUGUUUUGAAAGUGGACUAGACUAUAUAUGAAGGUGUUUUAAAAGGGGAGGAGACUUAAUGAUGCAAUGUUGUACCACUGGUGUUCAAAUUAUAUCCUGUCAGAGAUUUUGCAAACUGGGCUGGAUAGUAUAGAAUUAUUGAAAAAAAUCUCUGCUUAGAGUGCUCCUACGCCAUUGAUGGUCCAUUUAAAAAAUAUGGUGAACAAGGUCUCAGGCGACUUAAAGACCUGCUAUAAAUUGUUUUAAAUUAUAAUGUUGUUGUUUGAAGCGGCAUUCUUUGGUAGCAUUAAAUGUGAUAUUAGUGUGAGAUUUUUUUUUCGUAAGGAGGGUGAAUCUAUGGAAUGAAUGUCGUUGGAGUAUAAGUGAUAUGAUGCCAGUAAAUUGUGUGCAUGUGUUAUGUUUUUGUUAUAGCCAAUUUGUCGUGUACAUAUAUAUGACUUUUUAUACUUAUUAAAAAUUCAUGAAACUUG
rnacentral:sRNA from 1 species